rnacentral:tRNA from 1 species
GGGGCUGUAGCUCAGUGGUAAAGUGCUUGCCUCAAAAGUGUGAGGUACUGGGUUCAGAUCCUCAGCGCCA